rnacentral:rRNA from 1 species
GAUGAACGCUGACAGAAUGCUUAACACAUGCAAGUCCACUUGAACUUCGGUUUGGGUGGCGGACGGGUGAGUAACGCGUAAAGAACUUGCCUCACAGCUAGGGACAACAUUUGGAAACGAAUGCUAAUACCUGAUAUUAUGAUUAUAUGGCAUCGUAUAAUUAUGAAAGCUAUAUGCGCUGUGAGAGAGCUUUGCGUCCCAUUAGCUAGUUGGAGAGGUAACAGCUCACCAAGGCGAUGAUGGGUAGCCGGCCUGAGAGGGUGAUCGGCCACAAGGGGACUGAGACACGGCCCUUACUCCUACGGGAGGCAGCAGUGGGGAAUAUUGGACAGUGGACCGAGAGUCUGAUCCAGCAAUUCUGUGUGCACGAUGAAGUUUUUCGGAAUGUAAAGUGCUUUCAGUUGGGAAGAAAAAAAUGACGGUACCAACAGAAGAAGUGACGGCUAAAUACGUG